ACGCGAGCUGGGUUCAGAACGUCGUGAGACAGUUCGGUCCCUAUCUUCCGUGGGUGUAGGAUACUUGAGAGGAGUUGCCCCUAGUACGAGAGGACCGGGGUGAACGAUCCACUGGUGGACCUGUUGUCGUGCCAACGGCAGUGCAGGGUAGCUAUGAUCGGACAGGAUAACCGCUGAAGGCAUCUAAGCGGGAAGCCCCCCUCAAAACAAGGUAUCCCUGAGAGCCGAGGUAGACCACCUCGUCGAUAGGCCAGAGAUGUAAGUGCAGUAAUGCAUUCAGUUGACUGGUACUAAUUGCUCGAUAGGCUUGAU
rnacentral:rRNA from 1 species